AGAUGACUACCUCUAAUCAAGCUUUGCUUUGUGACAAGCUGUUUAUUUACCAUCUGGUUUAAGGAAGAAGGAGAAGGAGAAGAAAAUCUUUUGAGUUCCAGGUUAAAUUGAGAGCGUACUACUAUCCAUGCUGCUCCUGGAAGACUUAUGAGAGGGACGGUAAGAGUGAGGCUGGCUGGACUGAGAGAGAUGAGGCGUUUCUUCCCAUGAGCAUCCUUUCAUACAGAUUGUAAUGUUAUGAAAUAUGUUUUUCUGCUGGUUUCAGCUCAGAGAUAUAUCUGUAUUAUUUGUAUUGGUAUUCUUGCUACUUUUUAUUGAACGAAGUAAAGAGACAAUUUGACCUUUGUAGAUCACUAGGUUAUAGUUUGCAUUAUAUCCUUAUCCAUUAUUUGAUUUGAUAGUCUUGCAUUAUAAGUUGUUGAAAAAUAAAUGCUAAUUUACCCUU